rnacentral:rRNA from 1 species
GAUGAACGCUGGCGGCGUGCCUAAUACAUGCCAGUCGAGCGAACAGACGAGGAGCUUGCUCCUCUGACGUUAGCGGCGGACGGGUGAGUAACACGUGGAUAACCUACCUAUAAGACUGGGAUAACUUCGGGAAACCGGAGCUAAUACCGGAUAAUAUAUUGAACCGCAUGGUUCAAUAGUAAAAGACGGUUUUGCUGUCACUUAUAGAUGGAUCCGCGCCGCAUUAGCUAGUUGGUAAGGUAACGGCUUACCAAGGCUACGAUGCGUAGCCGACCUGAGGGGGUGAUAGGCCACACUGGAACGGAGACACGGUCCAGACUCCUACGGGAGGCAGCAGUAGGGAAUCUUCCGCAAUGGGCGAAAGCCUGACGGAGCAACGCCGCGUGAGUGAUGAAGGUCUUCGGAUCGUAAAACUCUGUUAUUAGGGAAGAACAAAUGUGUAAGUAACUAUGCACGUCUUGACGGUACCUAAUCAGAAAGCCACGGCUAACUACGUG